rnacentral:rRNA from 1 species
UACAAGGGAUGCAAGCGUUAUCCGGAAUGAUUGGGCGUAAAGCGUCUGUAGGUGGUAAUUGAAGUCUGCUGUUCAAGACCAGGGCUUAACCCUGGACCGGCAGUGGAAACUCAAUUGCUUGAGUAAGGUAGGGGCAGAGGGAAUUCCCGGUGUAGCGGUGAAAUGCGUAGAUAUCGGGAAGAACACCGAUGGCGAAGGCGCUCUGCUGGGCCUAAAAACUGACACUGAGAGACGAAAGCUAGGGGAGCGAAUGG